rnacentral:sRNA from 1 species
CAUGCGCUUCCCUGGUGCGGAUCGCGGGAGAGCCCAAUCACAGGGCGAGCUGGACCUGGCUGUGAUCAUUUAUAAUCCUUGACUCCUCCGCUCCGCCACUUGUCAAGAUGACAGGUACUUUAUUUCUUCUUCUUCUUUAUUCAAAAAAUGAGAUUCCGGUUUUCUGCUUUUUUCGCUGUCAAAUGGGAUUUGCCGGACUGAACCACGUCCAUAUCGCCGCCCCUCCCUCCAUCCCUCCUCCCAGCCACGCCGGGUACGAGGAAAGCACCGAGGCUCCCAUGCUGUGACCAAUCAGUGUAUCUACUACUCUCGCCGUGAUUUAGGGGUCAUCCAUGAAUAACACUUCAUGCUGAUGAAUGGCUCUUGCCGGCUUUCGGCUCUGAUGAGGGGUCUGCUGGCCGCUGAUUGCAAACACUAAUGAACUUACAGCACCAUUUGAAAUUCACACGCACCAACAAAGUGCGGGGUACGUGCGUGGGAGUCUGUCCUUUUCUUCUCUAGUGGCCGGGAGGAAGACCUGGGGGAAGGGGCGGGUAAUUGCCUUGGACUUAAGUGGAAACACUUCUUGGUGUAAUCAAACCUCUAACCUUCUUAGAAAACUACUUUUCUUGAUCUUCCAUAGGGUGGGCAUUUCGGGUCAGCUGAGUCACCCGAGGAGGUGGGAGUGCGAGACACUGCCUGGGAAGAUGGAUUCCUAGACAGAAGGGUGUAAUUAAGGAUUGCCACCCCCGGUAGGCGGCCCGCCCUUGACAGAGCCUCUGAAAAUGACCUGCGUCUUUCCUUCCAAAAGUGUCCUCUUGUCGGAGACCGAAAAGCGCAAAUGACCUUCGGACUCCAGCAGGGGAGGGCUGCACUGAACACUUAGAUAUCCACACAGGCCCCAGCUCUGCCCUGUUUAGAACAAGUGUCCUCUCCCAGAUACAAGUAGCUGGACCUCCAACCAGGACCCACUGUCAGGGGCACAUUCAACAAACCUAAAGCCCCACCACCACCAGCAGCAGCUCCAUCCCCCAUCAAUUUCUCCUUUCUUCCCUCGGAUUGCAGCACAACACUGCCCCUGCCACACUUGGUUUGCAGUGGGAGCCGGAAAAACUUUACCGCCCUCCAGGACUCUGCCACUUUGUAAGUUUCUGCCAAAACUCAACUCCGGGAAUCUCCAGCCCCGCCCCCAUCCUUACCCCUAGCGGCGGAAAGCCCACCCGGGGAACCCUUUUUCACUUUUGGAAGCUCCUGCGGUUCGAGAUUUGGAACACCAAACCUAGGACCUUUACAGAAUCGCGCUCUGGCUCCCUGCCUCCCACCACCUCCAGGCAUCUUGCUGUCCGCAGGAGGCACUGGGUCCUGCCCCUUGGAGAGGAUCAUUGCACCAAUAAGGGUGAAGCUCCUCGAGGAGUGCCCAGGCGGUCCCUGAGACCAGCCUGGAGCCACCCGGGCGAAGCGGAGAGUUCCCCAGGCCUGCCCAGAGCCACUGCCAGCCAGUCUCCCGCAACUGGCAGAGGAAACAGGCUCCAGCCGAGCCCUUGGGUCCUACCUCCACUGCGAAUUUCAGAGCAGAGGACUCUACUUAACCUGUCUUAGCCUGAAUCGAAGACUUUUGUAUUUUUAACUACGUUCAAAAGGACAAAUCCAGCAGUCAGGCAAACAUGGAAAAGACUGGACCUUUCUGUUUUUUUUUUCCCCAAAGUUUAGUGUGGAAUUGACAAAGAGGGAACUCGAAUUAGUGUGCCCAUGCCCACGGUUUAAGUUCCCAAAGACGCUGGGCUUUGUCAAGUCUUGACAAUAAGUGAAUCCGACUUGGUUCCACCAGCACUAAUGACCCAAAGGCCCACUGGCACAUCUUUCUGGAACAAUCUAGAGUUACCCUAGGAUGACGGUACAGCCUCCUUCCUGCCCUAUGAAUCUCACACUUCAAAAAGACUAAGGCGGCAGACCAGGAGGAAUUACACCUUCCUCUCUUCAUUAUCGUAAGAAGUUUGUCAAUGAUGAAUGUAUGGCCCCCCAGACAUUAAAGAAAAUCAAAUAAACUCCCCCAAAUUAGCAUCCUUGACCUGAUCAUAAGCAAACUCUGAGGGCCUUUUAUAAAUCACCUUGAAGCUCAGCUCCCACAAAAAAAAUCACGAGUGUAACUUAUUACUGUCCAAGAAGCAAAACCCCUCUCUCCCUCUUCUGUGCUGACGUCUAUUGAGUACACAAUAAAGACCCACUACCCCAACCCCAAAGAUGCUCAAACAGAAGAGUUGUGUGCAGGGGGAGAUGAGGAGGAGCACUGUUUACUUCAGCUCUUCUUCCCUCAAACCCUCAUUAUGGCUAACACUGCUAAUAAUGAAGAAAGGAAUUAUGGAAGUCAUUCAAUGUGGAAAUGGUAGUAAACUUGGGAGCCUGUCUCCAGCCCACAUCACACUAGUGGAUGUGCGAACACACACACACACACACACACACACACACACACACACACACACACACACCUCUAUAAGCUCUCUUUGCUUAGUGCCAGGUUUUGCCACUGGACAAAGCACACUGAUGUCUGGUCAGCAUUUGUCAGCUUCUGCAAGGCUCAGCCUGUAAGUAAGGCAGUCGGGGUAGGUGCAUUCAACCUGACUCCCCUCCCCUCCCCUCCCCUCUCCUCUCCUCCCUCCUCUCUCAGAAGUCCCAUCAUUCAAGCCCCUUAAGAAAUGUUGUUGGGGAAAAAAACCAAACUGGACCAGGUUUUGUGCUCCAAAUGCAUCCCUGGAAAGCAGUGAACCUGCUUGAUAUGUGACCACCCCAACUUUGCCUUGUGGCUGAGCUGCUGUCAGGGGAGAGAAAGAUGGUGAAUUGCUCACUUUGGCACCAAUAAAACCUGGACUAGCAGAAGAAAUGCAAGUCUUCGCUGCUUGUUUUGGCCUGCACUGCAGACUGCCCAGGGUGGCUGGAGAGUUUGCAGUCUUAGCAGUGCUGAUCUGGUCUAUUCAUGGGCUAAUGACAAGGAACAGGCUGUAUUGCUGUCUCCUCCCCCUAGCUUCCUAUUGUUGCCCUGACCUUAGCAGGCUUCUAGAGGUAUCUGGAAACCUCCAGGUUCCCUUUAAGGUUAGGAAGGGCACACCCAGGCCAUCAGAACUGGACUAGGGUACUAAAGGGCAGCCUCUUGACCUGUUAUGAAGUCAGAGCAGAGGCCUCUGGUACUCCAGUUCCCAUCAUGUCAACCUCUGCCUGUGUCUUUGGCAGCCUAAGGUGAUACUCGUCCUCCAGGGACUCUGUUUUGAAGGCCAUGCACUUUCUCUUGUCCUGAGAUCCAGCCUGUAGCUCAGGGGCUGGGUGGCAGCUGUCCCCACCUCCCCGACAGGGAACAGAUGCCUCCAAAGCACACUUUCCCUUUUGACUUGGGAGUCUUUCAAGGACACAGAAGGGAACACUGAACCAUGCAGGUGUGGGGUUCUCUCGGGAGGGUGAAGACAUAAUGCUAGUUUGAAGUUGUUCUCUGAACUUAGCUCCUUCUGCUUUAGCCACAAAGACUUGACUGUCAAGCUCAGCCUGAGUUUCUGCAGCUCUGCCACGUUUGCCACUUAAGGGAUUCCAGACAUUCAAGAGCUGGUAGAGAUGACAUUGACAGCUAGAGUUCAGACGCUAGAGCAACCAGCUCACCUUUGGAAAAGCUCAGCAGUGAGAGAAUGCUGGACCUUGCCUCAAGAAUUCACCAUGUCACUUGGAAACUGGAAUUAAAUCAGGUUUGAUACAGGAAAGUGAACUGUGAAAAACCAAGCAGAAGUGAUUCUGUCUUAAUGGUGCGAUGAGCUGGAGAAGUCGUAGGAAACCAAAAGACAGGAGAGAAGACACCAUUCCCGAGAAGCAAGGCAUUGGUGAAAGGAGAUGAAGGCAUUUUACCAACCUGAACGUUUUCACAUGGGACGUUUCAUGGCAUAAUCUCUGAAACUGUUGAGUUGUUGAGGGUUCCUAAGCCUUUUCUUAGCAUUGAGGUCCUCUUUUCAAUAAAUCCUACUUCUUACUGAAUGCAGAAUCAAAGCAAUCCUACAGCACUAACACUUCCAUUGUUGCAUAUGGAGCUCAGUAUACAAAGAACCCCAGAAGAGAGGUUACAGCUGGAUUAUAGCUGCUUCAAAUAUGUAACUUUCCAUGAAUAGUUUCUGACAUUUUGAAGGCUAGGCAUCCCAAGCCAGAACUUUUCUAUCCAAGCAUGUAGGACAGCAUUCAUUGGUUGUGUGUUUCUUCAGUGACAGGAUAGAACAUGGAAGAGACUGUUAGGACUCAUGGCAUCUGAGGAGAACUUACAGAAUUUGUUCACCUAUCUUAUAUAUAAAAAUAAAACAAUAGAUUGUAUACACAAAUAUAGAAAAAUCACUUGUUUAUAUGUACAUUAUAUGUAUUUUGAGUACAGAUGAUAAUAGUCCCACUUAUUACCAAUUAUAUUUUUUUGCAAUUUCAUAACAGUGGCCUAAAAAUAUUAGGUGGAAAAUUCUAGAAGCAAUUCAUACAUACAUGUUAUAUUACACAACAUUUUGAGUACCACGAUAAAUUCUCAUUCUGUACUUUGUCUUGCCCAAAAUGUAACUCAUUUCUUUGGUCUGUAUAUCUGGCCUGUUACCUCCACUUUCAGAACCAUUUUUGGAAUAAUGCAGGGUCUGUAUUCGAAUCACCCUGUUAUACUCUGCAGUGUCUCCAAAUCUUCAUAUGCUAGAGAGAAAUGGUGGAGAGUGUCUUCCACAAGGUUCUCUACUUAAGAGCUAUCAUGUCAUUAAAUCAUGUACUAGGCAUGAUUCAUAAAUUAAUCUAUCUUAUAGAUAUUUAUGUACAAGAGAAAAACAUAGUGCAUAUAGGGGCUGGUGUUACUUGUGACUUCUGGUAUUCACUGUAUUCUUUUUCAUUGGCUUUCCACAAUCCUGAUGAUGUAUAUACAAUGGAGAUUUUGUUCUGUGGAUACUCAUCUAGUUCUGAAUUCUACUAAGGAAGCACAUACUUAUAUACACUUCCUUAUUAAGAAGGUAACUCUCAUUUGUUCAAUCCAUUGUGUAACCUAAAUUUCUAUGUAUACAUAGAAAUGCAUCUCCUUUCACUUGCAUAUGCAUAUUUUGUAAAUGAGAUUCAUUGGAAUUUACACUUUUACAGGUGGAGCUUAAUGGUAUGGCUAUCUGUGGUGUGGCCAAGAAGAAAUAAGGCAAGAAGAGGGAGGAAGAGGUUUAGAUUAAUUAUAAAUGCUAUAAGUGGAUGGCCAAAAUUCACAAUGGAAAGCAUGCACCUAGGCAUAACUCUCAUGGGAACUUCCAAAGUUUGUUCUCAGUAACUGCUUUCACUUAAUACAUAAUUUUAACAAAUCCAUUUAUGACUUUGAAAUAUGAAGUGUUCCGAUGAAGAGAAGAAAUACUUAAAAGAGGAAAACUGAAAAAUAUUAAAAGUUCAAUGGAAUUACUGAAAAACAGCCAGAUAGUGUGACUUUCGUUAAUAUAAAGGGCAAAUGUCUGGCCAUCUUUCGGUAUUUGUAAGAGCUCUACUCAUUAAGAUGUAUAACGAUGGUCUUGAAUCAUUAGGAAAAGGUGAAGCUAUGUGUCUAUCUUAGCAUAUUCUGGGCAAAAAAAAUUAAAACCAUUUAGAUUGAGUUCCAUCAAAAUCAUUAUAAAGUUAGUAAGAGUGAAUCCUCAAGUUUUUAAGGCAUGCAAAUUUCAUUCUCUUUCCCUCUCUCUCCCUCUCUUUCUCCUUCUCUCUCAUCUCUCCUGUAUCCCAACUUCUUUCUUUUUCCUGCCUCACCACAUGCGUAUUGUAUUUAUGCAUAAUGCUUAUUUGGUGUUUGGCUUUGACAAUCAUUACUGAGGUGGACUUGUAUUUAAGGAAACACUGAUGUAGGAUGAUUUAAGCGCUUGAAAAUAAUCUUACAUUUCCAUUUCACACAUGGAAAAAUAUGCUGGUACAUAUUCAUUAUUCAUUUAAGUUCGGUCAACUCUCAAUUAUCUCUGGUAAUAGAGAGUAGGGAUAAAAUGAGCAGGUGAAAUCUAUUUCUAGUCCCCAAACACAACUUCCAGUCUCUUCCUCCUGAGUUCUUCACUAGAAGCAGUGCUAUAUCUCUUUCCCCUUCUUUGUAGACUCAUUUCAAUUGUGGAAUGACCUUAAGAAAAACAACCCAAGGAUGAUCUCAAAUCCUUUGUAAAAUUAAGACAGGAAACAUAAUCUAUAACUCUAAUUAAAAAAAAAGCUGGGCUGCUUUUAAAAACCCUGUCUCUGAAACAUGGGUCACUCCCAAAGAGGAAAAGAAUGUCCUUCAUUAAACGGUGCUAUUUUGUAAGGCAUUUCAUCCAUUUAGAAGACAGUUUCUCCUCGUUACAAAUGUGUUUUAACUUCCAGAAUAGCAGUUGGAUUUUUAAACGUAAUAGCUUUAUAUAUUUUAUAAUUUACAGAGAAGGAGGACAAAUAAGCACCGGCUUAACAAAAUUAUUAACUAUAGAAUUAAGAACAUUUUUCAAGCAUGACCUCCAGACAGCUACCAUCAAGAUAGUUUUCCCAGCUGUUCCUUAACUAGCAAUAGUAUUGACUUUUUAAAAGUGAGAGUGAAUAGCAUUUAUCUGAGGAAGAAUCAAUUUAAAGCUGAAACUCCAAGGUCUUAAGAGCUAAUCUUGAAGAACAUCACUCAGAGGAGAGAUUGGUGUGGCAAUAAACAUAUAUCCCAAAAUGUAAAGGAUAUAAUAACUGUAUAAGACACACACACUCAAAUCUGUGUAAAGGUUUGACACCUGGCAAUUAAUAAACACGGGAGAGUAGAUAUUCAGGUUAUAGCUCCUUGCCCUGGUGGGAAAUCUGCAUCAAACAAAGAGAAAACAAGAUCCUCACAGACACAUAGAAAAAGGACACUAUAAUUUUAUACACAUUGUUCUGAGGGAUGUCAAUAUCCAUUGAUUAGUUUCCUUUGUGAAGAGCCAAUAAAAUCCUGCAAACUGGCCUUAUCUUUGAUGAUACGAAAGGUCAGAAUAUUUAAAAACAUUAUCAGGGAUGCUGUUUUCUUGUUCUUUUAGAAAUUCAUCUGAAGAAUCUAAUCUGAGGAGCAUUGUAUAGGGAAACUCUGUGUUUCCCAUAAGGCACAAGAGUAGGGAAGAGGGACCAGAUGUAAAUGCAGUUCUGCGACACAGUGUCACAAGUGAGGACAAGAAUGUCUAUCUAAAGAGCAUGGUGAUAAACACUUCUAUGGUCAUGUUUGUUGUAUGACACUAUUCUUGGUGAAUUUCUAUUUAUAAUAUCUAUUCAUAAAUGUAUAAUUUAUAUACCUAUUUAUAUUAUAUCACCUAUAUAUAAUUAGAUAAUGUUCAUCUGUAUCAUCUACAUAUGAUGGAUAAUAUUUAUAUUGUAUAAUCUAUAUGUAACAUAGAUAUGUUAUCUAAUUUGUAAAUAUAUAACAUGUAUUGAACACUCUCUAUUUACCCUAGGUAGCAUACCAACAACAGAUCAAAUUAAAGAUAUCAUCAGAGUUUUAUUGAGGUUACUUAUAGGUAUCUGGAUGGGACCUUACUUAUAGGUGCAGAAGUGACUCAAAGACAUCUGCAUCACUAAAAGCCCACCCCAAAGUAGAUGGUGGAUCAUGAAUGCCAGAAACCUGGAACUCACUACACAGCCUUCAUGAAGUUCAACAUGUUUAAGAGAGACCUUUUCAGGUGGUUUCAUUGGUCUAAACCUCUUCUUGGCAGCAUGGGUGGCAUCAGAGUCUUUUUUUUUUUUGGUUCUU